rnacentral:rRNA from 1 species
UGGGGAAUAUUGCACAAUGGGCGCAAGCCUGAUGCAGCCAUGCCGCGUGUAUGAAGCAGGCCUUCGGGUUGUAAAGUACUUUCAGCGGGGAGGAAGGGAGUAAAGUUAAUACCUUUGCUCAUUGACGUUACCCGCAGAAGAAGCACCGGCUAACUCCGUGCCAGCAGCCGCGGUAAUACGGAGGGUGCAAGCGUUAAUCGGAAUUACUGGGCGUAAAGCGCACGCAGGCGGUUUGUUAAGUCAGAUGUGAAAUCCCCGGGCUCAACCUGGGAACUGCAUCUGAUACUGGCAAGCUUGAGUCUCGUAGAGGGGGGUAGAAUUCCAGGUGUAGCGGUGAAAUGCGUAGAGAUCUGGAGGAAUACCGGUGGCGAAGGCGGCCCCCUGGACGAAGACUGACGCUCAGGUGCGAAAGAGGGGGGAGCAAACAGG